rnacentral:rRNA from 1 species
UACAGAGGGUGCGAGCGUUGUUCGGAAUUACUGGGCGUAAAGCGCACGUAGGCGGCUUUGUAAGUUAGAGGUGAAAGCCCGGGGCUCAACCCCGGAAUUGCCUUUAAGACUGCAUCGCUAGAAUUGUGGAGAGGUAAGUGGAAUUCCCGGUGUAGAGGUGAAAUUCGUAGAUAUCGGGAGGAACACCAGUGGCGAAGGCGGCGAUCUGGGUCGAUACUGACGCUGAGGUGCGAAAGCGUGGGGAGCAAACAGG